GGCGGUAUAGCCAAGUGGUAAGGCAGAGGUCUGCAAAACCUCUAUCACCGGUUCAAAUCCGGUUACCGCCUCCA
rnacentral:tRNA from 2 species